rnacentral:rRNA from 1 species
GGUUAAGCGACUAAGCGUACACGGUGGAUGCCCUGGCAGUCAGAGGCGAUGAAGGACGUGCUAAUCUGCGAAAAGCGUCGGUAAGGUGAUAUGAACCGUUACAGCCGGCGAUGUCCGAAUGGGGAAACCCAGUGCAAUUCGUUGCACUAUCGUUAACUGAAUACAUAGGUUAACGAGGCGAACCGGGGGAACUGAAACAUCUAAGUACCCCGAGGAAAAGAAAUCAACCGAGAUUCCCCCAGUAGCGGCGAGCGAACGGGGAGCAGCCCAGAGUCUGAAUCAGCUUGUGUGUUAGUGGAACGGUCUGGAAAGUCCGACGGUACAGGGUGAUAGUCCCGUACACCAAAAUGCACAGGUUGUGAACUCGAAGAGUAGGGCGGGACACGUGAUAUCCUGUCUGAAUAUGGGGGGACCAUCCUCCAAGGCUAAAUACUCCUGACUGACCGAUAGUGAACCAGUACCGUGAGGGAAAGGCGAAAAGAACCCCGGCGAGGGGAGUGAAAAAGAACCUGAAACCGUGUACGUACAAGCAGUGGGAGCACCUUCGGGUGUGACUGCGUACCUUUUGUAUAAUGGGUCAGCGACUUAUAUUCUGUAGCAAGGUUAACCGUAUAGGGGAGCCGCAGGGAAACCGAGUCUUAACUGGGCGUUAAGUUGCAGGGUAUAGACCCGAAACCCGGUGAUCUAGCCAUGGGCAGGUUGAAGGUUGGGUAACACUAACUGGAGGACCGAACCGACUAAUGUUGAAAAAUUAGCGGAUGACUUGUGGCUGGGGGUGAAAGGCCAAUCAAACCGGGAGAUAGCUGGUUCUCCCCGAAAGCUAUUUAGGUAGCGCCUCGUGAACUCAUCUUCGGGGGUAGAGCACUGUUUCGGCUAGGGGGUCAUCCCGACUUACCAACCCGAUGCAAACUACGAAUACCGAAGAAUGUUAUCACGGGAGACACACGGCGGGUGCUAACGUCCGUCGUGAAGAGGGAAACAACCCAGACCGCCAGCUAAGGUCCCAAAGUCAUGGUUAAGUGGGAAACGAUGUGGGAAGGCACAGACAGCCAGGAUGUUGGCUUAGAAGCAGCCAUCAUUUAAAGAAAGCGUAAUAGCUCACUGGUCGAGUCGGCCUGCGCGGAAGAUGUAACGGGGCUAAACCAUGCACCGAAGCUGCGGCAGCGACACUAUGUGUUGUUGGGUAGGGGAGCGUUCUGUAAGCCUGCGAAGGUGACCUGUGAGGGUUGCUGGAGGUAUCAGAAGUGCGAAUGCUGACAUAAGUAACGAUAAAGCGGGUGAAAAGCCCGCUCGCCGGAAGACCAAGGGUUCCUGUCCAACGUUAAUCGGGGCAGGGUGAGUCGACCCCUAAGGCGAGGCCGAAAGGCGUAGUCGAUGGGAAACAGGUUAAUAUUCCUGUACUUGGUGUUACUGCGAAGGGGGGACGGAGAAGGCUAUGUUAGCCGGGCGACGGUUGUCCCGGUUUAAGCAUGUAGGCUAAUUGUCCAGGCAAAUCCGGAUAAUCAAGGCUGAGGUGUGAUGACGAGGUACUACGGUGCUGAAGUAACAAAUGCCCUGCUUCCAGGAAAAGCCUCUAAGCAUCAGGUAACAUCAAAUCGUACCCCAAACCGACACAGGUGGUCAGGUAGAGAAUACCAAGGCGCUUGAGAGAACUCGGGUGAAGGAACUAGGCAAAAUGGUGCCGUAACUUCGGGAGAAGGCACGCUGGUGUGUAGGUGAAGCCCCUGCGGGUGGAGCUGAGACCAGUCGAAGAUACCAGCUGGCUGCAACUGUUUAUUAAAAACACAGCACUGUGCAAACACGAAAGUGGACGUAUACGGUGUGACGCCUGCCCGGUGCCGGAAGGUUAAUUGAUGGGGUUAUCCGUAAGGAGAAGCUCUUGAUCGAAGCCCCGGUAAACGGCGGCCGUAACUAUAACGGUCCUAAGGUAGCGAAAUUCCUUGUCGGGUAAGUUCCGACCUGCACGAAUGGCGUAAUGAUGGCCAGGCUGUCUCCACCCGAGACUCAGUGAAAUUGAACUCGCUGUGAAGAUGCAGUGUACCCGCGGCAAGACGGAAAGACCCCGUGAACCUUUACUAUAGCUUGACACUGAACAUUGAGCCUUGAUGUGUAGGAUAGGUGGGAGGCUUUGAAGCGUGGACGCCAGUCUGCGUGGAGCCAACCUUGAAAUACCACCCUUUAAUGUUUGAUGUUCUAACGUUGGCCCCUUACCGGGGUUGCGGACAGUGUCUGGUGGGUAGUUUGACUGGGGCGGUCUCCUCCCAAAGCGUAACGGAGGAGCACGAAGGUUAGCUAAUCCUGGUCGGACAUCAGGAGGUUAGUGCAAUGGCAUAAGCUAGCUUGACUGCGAGCGUGACGGCGCGAGCAGGUGCGAAAGCAGGUCAUAGUGAUCCGGUGGUUCUGAAUGGAAGGGCCAUCGCUCAACGGAUAAAAGGUACUCCGGGGAUAACAGGCUGAUACCGCCCAAGAGUUCAUAUCGACGGCGGUGUUUGGCACCUCGAUGUCGGCUCAUCACAUCCUGGGGCUGAAGUAGGUCCCAAGGGUAUGGCUGUUCGCCAUUUAAAGUGGUACGCGAGCUGGGUUUAGAACGUCGUGAGACAGUUCGGUCCCUAUCUGCCGUGGGCGCUGGAGAAUUGAGGGGGGCUGCUCCUAGUACGAGAGGACCGGAGUGGACGCAUCACUGGUGUUCGGGUUGUCAUGCCAAUGGCACUGCCCGGUAGCUAAAUGCGGAAGAGAUAAGUGCUGAAAGCAUCUAAGCACGAAACUUGCCCCGAGAUGAGUUCUCCCUGAGACUUUAAGUCUCCUGAAGGAACGUUAAAGACGAUGACGUUGAUAGGCCGGGUGUGUAAGCGCAGCGAUGCGUUGAGCUAACCGGUACUAAUGAACCGUGAGGCUUAACCUU